GGAGGGCUCGCAUAGUGGCCUAGUGCGGCGGUCUUGAAAACCGCUGUGGGGUCAAACCCACCGAGAGUUCGAAUCUCUCGCCCUCCG
rnacentral:tRNA from 1 species